rnacentral:rRNA from 1 species
UACCAGCUCUCCGAGUUGUAGGGACGAUUAUUGGGCUUAAAGCGUCCGUAGCUGGCUUAGCAAGUCUCCUGUUAAAUUCAGCGACCUAAUCGUUGAGCCGCGGGAGAUACUACUAGGCUAGGAGGCGGGAGAGGUCGACGGUACUUUCGGGGUAGGGGUGAAAUCCUAUAAUCCCGGGAGGACCACCAGUGGCGAAGGCUGUCGACUAGAACGCGCUAGACGGUGAGGGACGAAAGCUGGGGUAGCGAACCGGAUUAGAUACCCGGGUAGUCCCAGCUGUAACUAUGCGGGCUAGGUGUUGGGGUGGCUACGGGCCACUUCAGUGCCGCAGGAAAGCCAUUAAGCCCGCCGCCUGGGGAGUACGGCCGCAAGGCUGAAACUUAAAGGAAUUGGCGGGGGAGCACCACAAGGGGUGAAGCUUGCGGUUU